UAGGAUGUCGUCUAAAGGAAAGACUUUCUUUUUUGGUGAGAAAAAUAGUUGUUCGAUUCAA
rnacentral:tRNA from 1 species